CCUACGGGCAGCAGCAGUGGGGAAUAUUGGGCAAUGGGCGCAAGCCUGACCCAGCAACGCCGCGUGAAGGAAGAAUGCUUUCGGGUUGUAAACUUCUUUUAUCAGGGACGAAGCGAGUGACGGUACCUCCUGUAUAUGCCACGGCUAACUACGUGCCAGCAGCCGCUGUAAUACGUCGGUGGCAAUCGUUAUCCGGAUUUGCUGGGUGUAAAGGGCUUGUAGGCGGGAUGUUAAGUCAGAUGUGAAAGUUAUGGGCUCAAGCCUAAUAUUGCAUUUGAUACUGUAAUCCUUGAGUGCAGUUGAGGGAGGCGGAAUUCGGGGUGUAGCGGGGAAAUGCGUAGAUAUAAGGAGGAACACCAGUGGCGAAGGCGGACUGCUAGACAGCAACUGACACUGAUGCGCGAAAGUGUGGGGAGCAAACAGGAUUAGAUACCCGAGUAGUC
rnacentral:rRNA from 1 species